GAUGAACGCUAGCGGCAGGCUUAAUACAUGCAAGUCGAGGGGCAGCAUGACUGUAGCAAUACAGUUGAUGGCGACCGGCAAACGGGUGCGGAACACGUACAGAACCUUCCUUUAAGUGGUGAAUAGCCCAGAGAAAUUUGGAUUAAUACACCGUAACAUAUAGAGUUGGCAUCAAUUUUAUAUUAUAGCUCCGGCGCUUAAAGAUGGCUGUGCGGCUGAUUAGGUAGUUGGCGGAGUAACGGCCCACCAAGCCUACGAUCAGUAACUGGUGUGAGAGACCGACCAGUCACACGGGCACUGAGACACGGGCCCGACUCCUACGGGAGGCAGCAGUAAGGAAUAUUGGUCAAUGGACGCAAGUCUGAACCAGCCAUGCCGCGUGGAGGAUGAAGGUCCUCUGGAUUGUAAACUUCUUUUCUCUGGGGCGAAAACCUCUCAUUCUUGGGAGCUUGACAGUACCAGAGGAAUAAGCACCGGCUAACUCCGUGCCAGCAGCCGCGGUAAAAC
rnacentral:rRNA from 1 species